rnacentral:rRNA from 1 species
ACGGGAGGCAGCAGUGGGGAAUUUUGGACAAUGGGGGCAACCCUGAUCCAGCAAUGCCGCGUGAGUGAAGAAGGCCUUCGGGUUGUAAAGCUCUUUUGUCAGGGAAGAAACGGGGGUUCCUAAUACGAGUCCCUAAUGACGGUACCUGAAGAAUAAGCACCGGCUAACUACGUGCCAGCAGCCGCGGUAAUACGUAGGGUGCAAGCGUUAAUCGGAAUUACUGGGCGUAAAGCGUGCGCAGGCGGUUAUGUAAGACAGGUGUGAAAUCCCCGGGCUUAACCUGGGAAUGGCAUUUGUGACUGCAUAGCUAGAGUGUGUCAGAGGGGGGUAGAAUUCCACGUGUAGCAGUGAAAUGCGUAGAGAUGUGGAGGAAUACCGAUGGCGAAGGCAGCCCCCUGGGAUAACACUGACGCUCAUGCACGAAAGCGUGGGGAGCAAACAGGAUUAGAUACCCUGGUAGUCCACGCCCUAAACGAUGUCUACUAGUUGUCGGGUCUUAAUUGACUUGGUAACGCAGCUAACGCGUGAAGUAGACCGCCUGGGGAGUACGGUCGCAAGAUUAAAACUCAAAGGAAUUGACGGGGACCCGCACAAGCGGUGGAUGAUGUGGAUUAAUUCGAUGCAACGCGAAAAACCUUACCUACCCUUGACAUGUACAGAAUCCCGAAGAGAUUUGGGAGUGUUCGAAAGAAAACUGUAACACAGGUGCUGCA